CUUGGCCCCACCCCCAGAGGAGAGAGUUAAUGAAGAUGGGAGUCUGAGUCUUCAAGCAGGAGAGACCGAUUGCUCGGGCUUUUGAGGGGUUCCCAGAGCCGCGCCCAUUCCUCCAGGGCUGAGUGCCCCCCUUCCCUGAACUCAAGCACCGCCCCCAGAGUGAUGCCCAGACCCACCCUGAUCCAGCUGGCCCUGGCUGCGGGGCUGCAAACGCGACGUGGACCACGAAACAGCCCUCUCAUGGACAGAUACCAAACAUGGCAGACCCUGCACACACACUCCCCUCCUUAAUUCCCAGCAGAUGCACUGAGUUUAAGAUCACUACCUUUCUCUUCAUUUGGAGUCCAUUACACUUUAGCCAUCUUUGUGUAAAAACAAAAACCAAAACAAAACAAAAAAACGCUAGAUUUUCCAUUCUGUAUUUUAUUACUGAAAUAUGUUGUCCUACCCACCCCACCCCAAAAUAAAAAUCUUACCCUUGUCCGCUA